GACGGGGGGGGCAAGUGUUCUUCGGAAUGACUGGGCGUAAAGGGCACGUAGGCGGGGAAUCGGGUUGAAAGUGAAAGUCGCCAAAAACUGGCGGAAUGCUCUCGAAACCAAUUCACUUGGGUGAGACAGAGGAGAGUGGAAUUUCGUGUGUAGGGGUGAAAUCCGCAAAUCUACGAAGGAAGGCCAAAAGCGAAGGCAGCUCUCUGGGUCCCUACCGACGCUGGGGUGCGAAAGCAUGGGGAGCGAACAGG
rnacentral:rRNA from 1 species